GCGGCGCCCACUUUGAGGGAGGUAGGAAACCCAGGCUCCUGAGCGGCCGGAAUAGCUAAGGACCUCCGACCCGACCACAGAAGGGGAAGCCCUGGCCCUAAGUGCUGGGCCUCCAUUUCCUGGUUCUAAGGAGAGCAGCCACCAGCACAGCCCUUGAUGAGGAAUGGGAAAGCAGCAUGGAUUUCUUUAUUGCUGGAAGUUUGACAAGAUGAGAGGAAGGCUCCUGGGGUGCCAGUCUGGGUGACAAUGCUGAUGACAUUUGAAGUGUGUCAUCCUAAGUGAGCAAUUUCUCCUGACUCAGCCUUGAUUUCUGCAUCUGAGACAUGCACCUGGUCACAGGAAUCUGGAUAUCCAUGGAGAUGUGCUGAGGAUCACACUAUCCAGACUGGACUUGGUUUUAUUCUCACCUCAUUUUAGGAGGGAAGAGUUGUGGCUGGAAGGGCAGGACAGUUCAACACAAGGACCUGCCUGUACCCCCAACCUGGGGCCCCUCAAAACCAAGGAAGGGGCACCCCUCUGUCAGCCCAAAUUGCUGAGAGUGGUUGGGUGGUGGAAGGAAUGAAGCACAUUUCUCCCA